rnacentral:rRNA from 1 species
CCUACGGGAGGCAGCAGGCGCGAAAACUUUGCAAUGCGGGAAACCGUGACAAGGGAACUCUGAGUGCCCGUAAAAUCGGGCUGUCCAUCAGUUUAAAAAACUGGUGAAGAAAGGGCCGGGCAAGACCGGUGCCAGCCGCCUUGUUAAGUCUCUGGGGAAAUCUUCCGGCUUAACCGGAAGGCGUUUCAGGGAUACUGGCAGACUAGGGACCGGAAGAGGUGAGAGGUACUCCAGGGGUAGGAGUGAAAUCCUGUAAUCCUUGGGGGACCACCUGUGGCGAAGGCGUCUCACCAGGACGGCUCCGACAGUGAGGGACGAAAGCUGGGGGAGCAAACCGGAUUAGAUACCCCCGUAGUCC